GUCAGAUGAUUUGAAUAGAUAUGCUGAUCCUCUGUGAGGUACAACAAUUAAUAGCAUGUUAGAGUUCUGAUGACAGUUUCUGUUACCAAGGAAACUUUAUUCCAUCCUAAUAUUUUUGGGUAACUGUUUGUUCACCUUUUACAGGUUGACUUGAUGGUGAUCCAUUCAUCUAUUCACAGUAAGAGCUUUUCCCAGUAUUGUGAUUAGUUAGCAUAUAUGUGAAUCCAUAAUCCAAAGGAUGAUGUUAUCAUCCUAGAGUUUUUUUGGUUUAUUUGAGCAGAGACUUGAUUGGCCCAUAUAGAUUACUGGUUCUUUUUUGUUGUCUGUUAAUCUUUUUUUCUGAGUGAUUUUUUUUUUUUUUUACAAGUAGGCUCUGUGCCCAACAUGGGGCCGAAACUCAGGACCUCAAGAUCAAGAGUUGGGUGCCCCACUGAGCCAACUGAGCCAGCCAGGCAUCCUUUGCUUUAUUUCUUCUGGGUACUCCCUUGAUCUGUCCAGGGUUGAGCUCUCCAAAAGCAACAUUAAGGAUGGAGCAGCUUGUUUCCUGUAUGCUACCCCAAAGUCUCCAGAGUUAACAGGUUAGUUGAUUAAUGUCUGUGGCUCAUGCCACCAAAUCUGCAGUUUCCAUGAUGAGUCAAACUAGCUCACUAUGACUUACACAAUGAAAAUAAGUGAACACCUGAGAAACUGGAGACAGCAGGAGUGGAGGGAUGCUAUGUGGAAGGGCCUUUUUUUAUUCACCCACAUCUUCAUCCUCUAGGUCCUGUUACCUAUAACCUGCUUGUUUGCUGAAAGGUGAGUAGUUUCCUUAUGUGGUACAUGAAAUACAUUGGGCAGAAAAGUACCCUUUUGGGAGCCUAAAUCCAUGAUGACUUAUGUGGAAUCUCGUUCGGCUGAUAACUUGCUGUUGAGACUCGGAAUUCUGACUUUCCUAGGAAUGAUAGUUUAAGUGGGAAGAAUUUUUAUUGCUAGAGGUAAGCAUUACUGAUUCCCUUAUUUGUAUCAGGUCCAGUACCUUGUGUGGGACUCAAGAAUGAUUUGAGGUAAAUGCCUUUAUAACCCUAUUAUUUGGUUGCUAUAAAUUGGGUGGGGGUGGGGGUGUUUGGUGGCACUUUGGUCUUGGUAGUUGUAAGAAGACAUUACUGGUUUACUCCAAAGUUCUGUCUGGCCAUUCUGAACCACUUGCAACAAGCUCCCCCUCACCAGUGAUGAAUUCAAUACCGCCCCAGUCUGAUCACCGUGACUGAAAGGUAUUUUCUGAGCAGUGAGCUUGUCUUGCUGAGGUGACAACGGUGAGAAAUUUAUCAAGUAGGUUUUAAGCCAGUAGGAAGUCUUGUGGACUUACUGGUGGUUACUGAAAAAUAUGUGCUGAAAC
rnacentral:lncRNA from 1 species